rnacentral:tRNA from 1 species
GGAGAUGUGGCUCAGUGGUACAGCAUGUGUUUAGUAUGCAUGAGGCCCUGGGUUCAACCCCCAGCACAACCA